rnacentral:rRNA from 1 species
UUAAGCGACUAAGCGUACACGGUGGAUGCCCUGGCAGUCAGAGGCGAUGAAGGACGUGCUAAUCUGCGAAAAGCGUCGGUAAGGUGAUAUGAACCGUUAUAACCGGCGAUGUCCGAAUGGGGAAACCCAGUGUGAUUCGUCACACUAUCGUUAACUGAAUACAUAGGUUAACGAGGCGAACCGGGGGAACUGAAACAUCUAAGUACCCCGAGGAAAAGAAAUCAACCGAGAUUCCCCCAGUAGCGGCGAGCGAACGGGGAGCAGCCCAGAGUCUGAAUCAGCUUGUGUGUUAGUGGAACGGUCUGGAAAGUCCGACGGUACAGGGUGAUAGUCCCGUACACCAAAAUGCACAGGUUGUGAACUCGAAGAGUAGGGCGGGACACGUGGUAUCCUGUCUGAAUAUGGGGGGACCAUCCUCCAAGGCUAAAUACUCCUGACUGACCGAUAGUGAACCAGUACCGUGAGGGAAAGGCGAAAAGAACCCCGGCGAGGGGAGUGAAAAAGAACCUGAAACCGUGUACGUACAAGCAGUGGGAGCACCUUCGGGUGUGACUGCGUACCUUUUGUAUAAUGGGUCAGCGACUUAUAUUCUGUAGCAAGGUUAACCGUAUAGGGGAGCCGCAGGGAAACCGAGUCUUAACUGGGCGUUAAGUUGCAGGGUAUAGACCCGAAACCCGGUGAUCUAGCCAUGGGCAGGUUGAAGGUUGGGUAACACUAACUGGAGGACCGAACCGACUAAUGUUGAAAAAUUAGCGGAUGACUUGUGGCUGGGGGUGAAAGGCCAAUCAAACCGGGAGAUAGCUGGUUCUCCCCGAAAGCUAUUUAGGUAGCGCCUCGUGAAUUCAUCUUCGGGGGUAGAGCACUGUUUCGGCUAGGGGGUCAUCCCGACUUACCAACCCGAUGCAAACUACGAAUACCGAAGAAUGUUAUCACGGGAGACACACGGCGGGUGCUAACGUCCGUCGUGAAGAGGGAAACAACCCAGACCGCCAGCUAAGGUCCCAAAGUCAUGGUUAAGUGGGAAACGAUGUGGGAAGGCACAGACAGCCAGGAUGUUGGCUUAGAAGCAGCCAUCAUUUAAAGAAAGCGUAAUAGCUCACUGGUCGAGUCGGCCUGCGCGGAAGAUGUAACGGGGCUAAACCAUGCACCGAAGCUGCGGCAGCGACACUAUGUGUUGUUGGGUAGGGGAGCGUUCUGUAAGCCUGCGAAGGUGACCUGUGAGGGUUGCUGGAGGUAUCAGAAGUGCGAAUGCUGACAUAAGUAACGAUAAAGCGGGUGAAAAGCCCGCUCGCCGGAAGACCAAGGGUUCCUGUCCAACGUUAAUCGGGGCAGGGUGAGUCGACCCCUAAGGCGAGGCCGAAAGGCGUAGUCGAUGGGAAACAGGUUAAUAUUCCUGUACUUGGUGUUACUGCGAAGGGGGGACGGAGAAGGCUAUGUUAGCCGGGCGACGGUUGUCCCGGUUUAAGCAUGUAGGCUGGUUGUCCAGGCAAAUCCGGAUAAUCAAGGCUGAGGUGUGAUGACGAGGCACUACGGUGCUGAAGUAACAAAUGCCCUGCUUCCAGGAAAAGCCUCUAAGCAUCAGGUAACAUCAAAUCGUACCCCAAACCGACACAGGUGGUCAGGUAGAGAAUACCAAGGCGCUUGAGAGAACUCGGGUGAAGGAACUAGGCAAAAUGGUGCCGUAACUUCGGGAGAAGGCACGCUGGUGUGUAGGUGAAGCCCCUGCGGGUGGAGCUGAGACCAGUCGAAGAUACCAGCUGGCUGCAACUGUUUAUUAAAAACACAGCACUGUGCAAACACGAAAGUGGACGUAUACGGUGUGACGCCUGCCCGGUGCCGGAAGGUUAAUUGAUGGGGUUAUCCGUAAGGAGAAGCUCUUGAUCGAAGCCCCGGUAAACGGCGGCCGUAACUAUAACGGUCCUAAGGUAGCGAAAUUCCUUGUCGGGUAAGUUCCGACCUGCACGAAUGGCGUAAUGAUGGCCAGGCUGUCUCCACCCGAGACUCAGUGAAAUUGAACUCGCUGUGAAGAUGCAGUGUACCCGCGGCAAGACGGAAAGACCCCGUGAACCUUUACUAUAGCUUGACACUGAACAUUGAGCCUUGAUGUGUAGGAUAGGUGGGAGGCUUUGAAGCGUGGACGCCAGUCUGCGUGGAGCCAACCUUGAAAUACCACCCUUUAAUGUUUGAUGUUCUAACGUUGGCCCCUGACCGGGGUUGCGGACAGUGUCUGGUGGGUAGUUUGACUGGGGCGGUCUCCUCCCAAAGCGUAACGGAGGAGUACGAAGGUUAGCUAAUCCUGGUCGGACAUCAGGAGGUUAGUGCAAUGGCAUAAGCUAGCUUGACUGCGAGCGUGACGGCGCGAGCAGGUGCGAAAGCAGGUCAUAGUGAUCCGGUGGUUCUGAAUGGAAGGGCCAUCGCUCAACGGAUAAAAGGUACUCCGGGGAUAACAGGCUGAUACCGCCCAAGAGUUCAUAUCGACGGCGGUGUUUGGCACCUCGAUGUCGGCUCAUCACAUCCUGGGGCUGAAGUAGGUCCCAAGGGUAUGGCUGUUCGCCAUUUAAAGUGGUACGCGAGCUGGGUUUAGAACGUCGUGAGACAGUUCGGUCCCUAUCUGCCGUGGGCGCUGGAGAAUUGAGGGGGGCUGCUCCUAGUACGAGAGGACCGGAGUGGACGCAUCACUGGUGUUCGGGUUGUCAUGCCAAUGGCACUGCCCGGUAGCUAAAUGCGGAAGAGAUAAGUGCUGAAAGCAUCUAAGCACGAAACUUGCCCCGAGAUGAGUUCUCCCUGAGACUUUAAGUCUCCUGAAGGAACGUUGAAGACGACGACGUUGAUAGGCCGGGUGUGUAAGCGCAGCGAUGCGUUGAGCUAACCGGUACUAAUGAACCGUGAGGCUUAACCUU